GGAAAAAAGCCUUGUUACAAGGUUUGAGGGUCUCUGCUAGAAUCACGUGGACCCCAGUGUAACACAUCUAUGGAAAGAGAGAAAAUCUCAGCUCAAGGGUCAACAUGUCUUUAUUCCAAGAAAGAGUGUACAUAUGCCAGAAUCAUAUGGACCGCAGACUGGCCCUGGUGAUUCCGUUAAGAAAAAAGAGGAAAAAUCAGUGCUUGUGCUCAUUGGUCAUUGGACAAAGGGUGUAUGCCAGAAUUUUUUGAAGAACAGUCUGAAUCUGACAUGGAAAAAAUGAAGAAAAACAGCCUUCCUGUUUAUAAAUCUACAUUCUGACAAAGGAUCAUUUCCUUGAGAUAGGUGGAACCAACAGUCAAAUCCAGACACCUUUAAGAAAAGUAAAAAUCUGACUCAGGUAAAAAAAAAAUCAUUUACAGUUUUAUCAAUUAGUAAUUUUUACCUUAAUUAACUGGACAAAUCUCAUUUGACGAUAUACAGGUCAAGAAUGAAGAGUUUAAAGCCUAGUAGGGAUUUUGGUCAAUCAUAACAGGUAAUCUGCAGCCCCUAUUGGGAAUUUUACACUCAUAUGGAGACGCCACCACUUGCCAGUGGAAAGCUGCAAAUUCUGUCCUAUACU